rnacentral:rRNA from 1 species
UGAACGCUAGCUACAGGCUUAACACAUGCAAGUCGAGGGGCAUCAGGAAGAAAGCUUGCUUUCUUUGCUGGCGACCGGCGCACGGGUGAGUAACACGUAUCCAACCUGCCCUUUACUCGGGGAUAGCCUUUCGAAAGAAAGAUUAAUACCCGAUGGCAUAAUGAUUCCGCAUGGUUUCAUUAUUAAAGGAUUCCGGUAAAGGAUGGGGAUGCGUUCCAUUAGGUUGUUGGUGAGGUAACGGCUCACCAAGCCUUCGAUGGAUAGGGGUUCUGAGAGGAAGGUCCCCCACAUUGGAACUGAGACACGGUCCAAACUCCUACGGGAGGCAGCAGUGAGGAAUAUUGGUCAAUGGGCGCUAGCCUGAACCAGCCAAGUAGCGUGAAGGAUGAAGGCUCUAUGGGUCGUAAACUUCUUUUAUAUAAGAAUAAAGUGCAGUAUGUAUACUGUUUUGUAUGUAUUAUAUGAAUAAGGAUCGGCUAACUCCGUGCCAGCACCCGCGGUAAUACGGAGGAUCCGAGCGUUAUCCGGAUUUAUUGGGUUUAAAGGGAGCGUAGGUGGACUGGUAAGUCAGUUGUGAAAGUUUGCGGCUCAACCGUAAAAUUGCAGUUGAUACUGUCAGUCUUGAGUACAGUAGAGGUGGGCGGAAUUCGUGGUGUAGCGGUGAAAUGCUUAGAUAUCACGAAGAAACUCCGAUUGCGAAGGCAGCUCACUGGACUGCAACUGACACUGAUACUCGAAAGUGUGGGUAUCAAACAGGAUUAGAUACCCUGGUAGUCCACACAGUAAACGAUGAAUACUCGCUGUUUGCGAUAUACAGUAAGCGGCCAAGCGAAAGCAUUAAGUAUUCCACCUGGGGAGUACGCCGGCAACGGUGAAACUCAAAGGAAUUGACGGGGGCCCGCACAAGCGGAGGAACAUGUGGUUUAAUUCGAUGAUACGCGAAGAACCUUACCCGGGCUUAAAUUGCAGUGGAAUGAUGUGGAAACAUGUCAGUGAGCAAUCACCGCUGUGAAGGUGCUGCAUGGUUGUCGUCAGCUCGUGCCGUGAGGUGUCGGCUUAAGUGCCAUAACGAGCGCAACCCUUAUCUUUAGUUACUAACAGGUUAUGCUGAGGACUCUAGAGAGACUGCCGUCGUAAGAUGUGAGGAAGGUGGGGAUGACGUCAAAUCAGCACGGCCCUUACGUCCGGGGCUACACACGUGUUACAAUGGGGGGUACAGAAGGCAGCUAGCGGGUGACCGUAUGCUAAUCCCAAAAGCCUCUCUCAGUUCGGAUCGAAGUCUGCAACCCGACUUCGUGAAGCUGGAUUCGCUAGUAAUCGCGCAUCAGCCACGGCGCGGUGAAUACGUUCCCGGGCCUUGUACACACCGCCCGUCAAGCCAUGGGAGCCGGGGGUACCUGAAGUACGUAACCGCAAGGAUCGUCCUAGGGUAAAACUGGUGACUGGGGCUA